rnacentral:rRNA from 1 species
GUGCCAGGCAGCCGCGGUAAUACCGGCAGCCCGAGUGAUGACCGAUAUUAUUGGGCCUAAAGCGUCCGUAGCUGGCUGCGCAAGUCCGUCGGGAAGUCCACUCGCCCAACGAGUGGGCGUCCGACGGAAACUGCACAGCUUGGGACCGGAAGGCUCGAAGGGUACGUCCAGGGUAGGAGUGAAAUCCCGUAAUCCUGGACGGACCGCCGAUGGCGAAAGCACGUCGCGAGAACGGAUCCGACAGUGAGGGACGAAAGCUAGGGUCUCGAACCGGAUUAGAUACCCUGGUAGUCC